ensembl:lncRNA
AUUUUAAUAUAUUUGACAUUUUAAACUCACUUCAGUCAUAAAUCAUUAUGAUCCUUAAAUUGUCCUCUUUGGCCAGAAGAAAGCAAGAAUGGAGGUGUAGGAGGCUAAGCACUGUCAUCUCAAUAAAAAGGAUGUUUAGCAUCCCUGGCCUUACCCACAAAUGCUGGUGGCACUGUCCCCAUUUUGAGGUAACUAAUGACACCUUCACAGAUUGCCAGAAUGCUUCUACGGAGAACCACUCGAGAACAUAGUCAUCAAGAUCACAAAAGUUGAGCUCGAAGAACUGUUCAGGUAAAACAAUUAUGAAACAGAAAAGUUUAAUGAUUUCCUCUGUUCCUUUUCUCCCUCUCCUACAGUGCCUUCACCUUCUUUUAAUUUUUUAAUUUCUCAAUUGAAACUGAUAAACUUGAAUAGUGGGGUUUUAAAGACCAAAGAGGCUGUACAGCCACAGAAUUUAGAAAUAAGUUUAGGAAAUGAUCACCUUCUGAAACUGAAGCUAAAGAGAAAGAUCAGUUAUGACAGAUGAAAUUAGCUCCUGUGUAAGUAAUCUGCUCUUGGAAUUGGCUGCAAAAGUAUUGCUUUUGUGAUUAUAAUGCUUUCCAAGUUUCCAUCAAGUCAUAAGGAUAUCGUCUCAGGAAGACAUUCUUGAAAUGUGGAGGGACUGUGGAAUAGUCAGUAGUAGGUAGCACCAUCUGAAAAAGAUCCACGAAUUUUAGUGUAGUUGACAAGUCUGUAGCAGAGAUCAUUUUCACUUUUAAUUCAAUAAAUAUUCAUCUAAUUGUUUAUUGCCUACUAUGCCCCAAGUAUUAUAUAUUAAGCACAGAACAUACAAUAGUAAACAGAACAUAAUUUUUUUUGUUUUUGUUUGUUUGCAAAGUUGCUUCAGUCAUGUCUGACUCUUUUCAACCCUGUGUACCAUAGUUCGUCAAGCUCCUCUGUCCAUGGGAUUCUCCAGGAAAGAAUACUUGAGUGGGUUGCCAUGCUCUUCUCCAGGGAACCUUCCCCACCCAGGGAUUGAAACCGGAUCUCUUACAUCUCCUGCAUCGGCAGGCGGGUUCUUUACCACUAGCACCACCUGGAAAGCCCCAUGGUGCUUCCCCUCAAAGAACUUAUUAUCUGGAGAAUGCAUUCUCAAUGGGCAAAAAACCUUCCAUAUUACAGUGGUUUGUGGCCCUCCAGUACAGAUAUACAGGAUAUCUGUGGUUUAAGAUCUCAUAGGGGAUGGGAGUAUUAGUGUAAAAAUGCCUAAAAUGGCUUCAAUAGGUCAAUCAUGAAACUAAGGUUAACCUGAUGUAAAGGAGGAAAAAGAGAAAAAAAUGAAUAAGAUGAAAGAAAACAAGAAGGAAAAGUAGCAUGAUGAAAGAGAAAUAGGAAAGAAGAGAUGAGAAAAUAAGGUAUGUGAAAUUUUAAGAAUACAAAAAUAGUUCUGUCUGCCACUGAGCCAUAUGACAUACAACUUCUUUUCAUUGACAUUCUGAAAUACAAGCUUAUUCCUCUACGUUAUUUCUGGCUUUGGCAACAAAGCAUUAAAUGUGAAAAGCAAUACUGGAAUGCCUGCUUUUCAUCAAAAGAAUUCCCAUAUCCUAAAUCACUCAUUCUUAAUCAAAUAUUCCACAUGUCCUCACUUCUCUCAUUUAAAAUUUAAACUUAUAAAACUAUUUUCUAUUAGGUUCCUAAGGACCCUGUUAUUCCACUUAUGUACAUGUAAUGUGAACUUUGUUAGCUCCAUGAUUAUCAAAGCCUUCAUUAUUAUAGCCAUUCUUUAUCUGCCAUAGUAAACAAAGACAUUGGUUGUCAUUUGAUAGCUUAUCAAGCUUUUUUGUAGUUUGGAUUUACCCCUCUGGACCAUAUCCUUUUCUUUAUUCUGAAUAUAGGUGCACCAAACAACUUUAUGAUUAUUAGUUAUAUUUUUUGGAUAUCUUGAUAUAAGGAAGAAAGCAACCUUGCUAGCAGACAUUGGUAUUUCAGCUAACAGAAUCAUCUUUAUUAGCACUUUAAAAUAUUUAUGUGUAUUUUAUUGUGAUAUAACUAACAUGGACUUCCCAGGUGGCUCAGUUGUAAAGAAUCCACUGCCAAGCAGGAGACAUAGGUUUGAUCCUUGAAUAUUGAAGAUCCCCUGGAGAAGGAAUGGCAACCCACUCCAAUAGUCUUGCCUGGAAAAUCCCAUGGACAGAGGCGCCUGGUGAGCUACAGUCUAUGAUGUUGGAAAGAUUUGGACACAACUGAUCACGUACAUGCGUGCAGCAUUCCAUUAUCUGGAUGUACCAGUUUAUCAGUUCACCUGUUGAAGGAUAUCUUGAUUGCUUCCAAAUGUUAGCAAUUAUGAAUAAAGCUGCUAAAACAUAUGUGUGCAGGUUUUAAUGUGAACAUAAGUUUCCCAUUCUUUUGGAUAAAUACCAGGAAGUGCAAUUGCUGGAUCAUAUGGUAAGAGUUUGUUUUCUAAGAAACCGCCAAACUGUCCUCCAGUCUACCAUUUUGCAUUCCCAUCAGCAAUGAAUGAGUUUCUGUUGUUCCAC